rnacentral:rRNA from 1 species
GAGAUCGGGAUAACACCUGGAAACAGAUGCUAAUACCGGAUAACAACAGAUGAUGCCUAUCAACUGUUUAAAAGAUGGUUCUGCUAUCACUCUUGGAUGGACCUGCGGUGCAUUAGCUAGUUGGUAGGGUAACGGCCUACCAAGGCGAUGAUGCAUAGCCGAGUUGAGAGACUGAUCGGCCACAUUGGGACUGAGACACGGCCCAAACUCCUACGGGAGGCAGCAACC